AGCAGCCGCGGUAAUUCCAGCUCCAAUAGCGUAUAUUAAAGUUGUUGCAGUUAAAAAGCUCGUAGUUGAAUUUCGGGACCAAUAUGUCGGUCGUGCUUCGGUACGUACUUGCAUUAUUGGUUUCUCCCUUCUGACGAACCAUGAUGUCAUUAAUUUGAUGUCAUAGGAAAUCAGGACUGUUACUUUGAAAAAAUUAGAGUGUUUAAAGCAGGCUCGUGCUUGAAUACAUUAGCAUGGAAUAAUGAAAUAGGACGUUUGAUUCUAUUUUGUUGGUUUCUAGGAUCGACGUAAUGAUUAAUAGGGAUAGUUGGGGGCAUUAGUAUUCAAUUGUCAGAGGUGAAAUUCUUGGAUUUAUUGAAGACUAACUACUGCGAAAGCAUUUGCCAAGGAUGUUUUCAUUAAUCAAGAACGAAAGUUAGGGGAUCGAAGACGAUCAGAUACCGUCGUAGUCUUAACCAUAAACUAUGCCGACUAGGGAUCGGAUGAUGUUAAUUUUUAAUGACUCAUUC
rnacentral:rRNA from 1 species